AACAGAAACAGACGACUAUAGAGCAGCCCUCUGUGCUGCUGAAGCCCUGCCUACUGAGGAAGACUCUGUGAUUUAUUCAGGGUUGGCCCUGACAACCAGAACUUGAAGAAAAUGUAUGAAGUUUCAUUUUAUUGCAGAUGUCAUUUGUUCAAAUAAUUACAUGUUGUUUUUUAAGUUAAGGCUUUCGGGUAAUUCUUCAUGAAGAACUUAUCUGUGGUUAAUCUGCUGAUGUAGAAAGGUGGCAUUUUAAUGAAAUGGGGAAGUGGCCAUUUGUCUCGAUCACUUAUGCAAAGGAAUGACAAAGAUAAACCUAAAAUAAUUUUGGCAGUGAAGAACCAGUCAACGUUUUUUUAUUGAAGGAUACAAACAGUGCCUUUCACCAGCUGAAUGCAAGAAAUGUAUCAAUGAAGCUCUUGCUUUUAAUUUUUAUAAUGGAUCAUUUAAUUGCUUAAUUGACUUAUCUUGUAUGUCUGUUAAAGAGUUUUCUGUUAAUAAAUAAAACGAAAUAUA